UAACUGGAGGACCGAACCGACUAAUGUUGAAAAAUUAGCGGAUGACUUGUGGCUGGGGGUGAAAGGCCAAUCAAACCGGGAGAUAGCUGGUUCUCCCCGAAAGCUAUUUAGGUAGCGCCUCGUGAAUUCAUCUCCGGGGGUAGAGCACUGUUUCGGCAAGGGGGUCAUCCCGACUUACCAACCCGAUGCAAACUGCGAAUACCGGAGAAUGUUAUCACGGGAGACACACGGCGGGUGCUAACGUCCGUCGUGAAGAGGGAAACAACCCAGACCGCCAGCUAAGGUCCCAAAGUCAUGGUUAAGUGGGAAACGAUGUGGGAAGGCCCAGACAGCCAGGAUGUUGGCUUAGAAGCAGCCAUCAUUUAAAGAAAGCGUAAUAGCUCACUGGUCGAGUCGGCCUGCGCGGAAGAUGUAACGGGGCUAAACCAUGCACCGAAGCUGCGGCAGCGACGCUGAUGCGUUGUUGGGUAGGGGAGCGUUCUGUAAGCCUGCGAAGGUGUGCUGUGAGGCAUGCUGGAGGUAUCAGAAGUGCGAAUGCUGACAUAAGUAACGAUAAAGCGGGUGAAAAGCCCGCUCGCCGGAAGACCAAGGGUUCCUGUCCAACGUUAAUCGGGGCAGGGUGAGUCGACCCCUAAGGCGAGGCCGAAAGGCGUAGUCGAUGGGAAACAGGUUAAUAUUCCUGUACUUGGUGUUACUGCGAAGGGGGGACGGAGAAGGCUAUGUUGGCCGGGCGACGGUUGUCCCGGUUUAAGCGUGUAGGCUGGUUUUCCAGGCAAAUCCGGAAAAUCAAGGCUGAGGCGUGAUGACGAGGCACUGCGGUGCUGAAGCAACAAAUGCCCUGCUUCCAGGAAAAGCCUCUAAGCAUCAGGUAACAUCAAAUCGUACCCCAAACCGACACAGGUGGUCAGGUAGAGAAUACCAAGGCGCUUGAGAGAACUCGGGUGAAGGAACUAGGCAAAAUGGUGCCGUAACUUCGGGAGAAGGCACGCUGAUAUGUAGGUGAAGUCCCUCGCGGAUGGAGCUGAAAUCAGUCGAAGAUACCAGCUGGCUGCAACUGUUUAUUAAAAACACAGCACUGUGCAAACACGAAAGUGGACGUAUACGGUGUGACGCCUGCCCGGUGCCGGAAGGUUAAUUGAUGGGGUUAGCGCAAGCGAAGCUCUUGAUCGAAGCCCCGGUAAACGGCGGCCGUAACUAUAACGGUCCUAAGGUAGCGAAAUUCCUUGUCGGGUAAGUUCCGACCUGCACGAAUGGCGUAAUGAUGGCCAGGCUGUCUCCACCCGAGACUCAGUGAAAUUGAACUCGCUGUGAAGAUGCAGUGUACCCGCGGCAAGACGGAAAGACCCCGUGAACCUUUACUAUAGCUUGACACUGAACAUUGAGCCUUGAUGUGUAGGAUAGGUGGGAGGCUUUGAAGUGUGGACGCCAGUCUGCAUGGAGCCGACCUUGAAAUACCACCCUUUAAUGUUUGAUGUUCUAACGUUGACCCGUAAUCCGGGUUGCGGACAGUGUCUGGUGGGUAGUUUGACUGGGGCGGUCUCCUCCUAAAGAGUAACGGAGGAGCACGAAGGUUGGCUAAUCCUGGUCGGACAUCAGGAGGUUAGUGCAAUGGCAUAAGCCAGCUUGACUGCGAGCGUGACGGCGCGAGCAGGUGCGAAAGCAGGUCAUAGUGAUCCGGUGGUUCUGAAUGGAAGGGCCAUCGCUCAACGGAUAAAAGGUACUCCGGGGAUAACAGGCUGAUACCGCCCAAGAGUUCAUAUCGACGGCGGUGUUUGGCACCUCGAUGUCGGCUCAUCACAUCCUGGGGCUGAAGUAGGUCCCAAGGGUAUGGCUGUUCGCCAUUUAAAGUGGUACGCGAGCUGGGUUUAGAACGUCGUGAGACAGUUCGGUCCCUAUCUGCCGUGGGCGCUGGAGAACUGAGGGGGGCUGCUCCUAGUACGAGAGGACCGGAGUGGACGCAUCACUGGUGUUCGGGUUGUCAUGCCAAUGGCACUGCCCGGUAGCUAAAUGCGGAAGAGAUAAGUGCUGAAAGCAUCUAAGCACGAAACUUGCCCCGAGAUGAG
rnacentral:rRNA from 1 species